AGCGAACGCUGGCGGCAGGCCUAACACAUGCAAGUCGAACGGAUCCUUCGGGAUUAGUGGCGGACGGGUGAGUAACACGUGGGAACGUGCCCUUUGGUUCGGAACAACUCAGGGAAACUUGAGCUAAUACCGGAUGUGCCCUUCGGGGGAAAGAUUUAUCGCCAUUGGAGCGGCUCGCGUCUGAUUAGCUAGUUGGUGAGGUAACGGCCCACCAAGGCGACGAUCAGUAGCUGGUCUGAGAGGAUGAUCAGCCACACUGGGACUGAGACACGGCCCAGACUCCUACGGGAGGCAGCAGUGGGGAAUCUUGCGCAAUGGGCGAAAGCCUGACGCAGCCAUGCCGCGUGAAUGAUGAAGGUCUUAGGAUUGUAAAAUUCUUUCAGCGGGGACGAUAAUGACGGUACCCGCAGAAGAAGCUCCGGCUAACUUCGUG
rnacentral:rRNA from 1 species